CCCUUAGAUGUUCUGGGCCGCACGCGCGCUACAAUGGUCUUCGCAAACGGAUGCAUUCUCGAAGGAGAAUGCCAAUCUUGGAAUCUAUGCCUUGGUCGGGACAGUUGCUUGCAAUUUUUCGACUCGAACCAGGAAUUCCUUGUAAUCGUGAUUCAUCACAUCACGAUGAAUACGUCCCUGCCCUUUGUACACACCGCCCGUCGCUCCUACCGAUUGAAUGCUCAGGUGAGCCAUUCGGACUUUCAUCAUGCUGGUUUCCAGUUUUGAUGAAGGAAAGUCUUGCGAACCUUAUCAUUUAGAGGAAGGAGAAGUCGUAACA
rnacentral:rRNA from 1 species